UACGAAGGGUGCAAACGUUGCUCGGAAUUAUUGGGCGUAAAGCGCGCGUAGGCGGCUUUGCAAGUCCCAUGUGAAAUCCCACGGCUCAACCGUGGAAGUGCAUGGGAAACUGCAGAGCUUGAGUACUUAAGAGGAUCGCGGAAUUCCCGGUGUAGAGGUGAAAUUCGUAGAUAUCGGGAGGAACACCAGUGGCGAAGGCGGCGAUCUGGGAAGAUACUGACGCUGAGGUGCGAAAGCGUGGGGAGCGAACAGG
rnacentral:rRNA from 1 species